rnacentral:rRNA from 1 species
CCUACGGGUGGCAGCAGUGAGGAAUAUUGGUCAAUGGGCGCGAGCCUGAACCAGCCAAGUAGCGUGAAGGAUGACUGCCCUACGGGUUGUAAACUUCGUUUAUAAGGGCAUAAAGUGAGGCACGUGUGCCUUUUUAUAUGUACUUUAUGAAUAAGGAUCGGCUCACUCCUUGCCAGCAGCCGCGGUAAUACGGAGGAUCCGAGCGUUAACCGGAUUUAUUGGGUUUAAAGGGAGCGUAGAUGGGUUGUUAAGUCAGUUGUGAAAGUUUGCGGCUCAACCGUAAAAGUGCAAUUGAUACUGGCAGCCUUGAGUACAGGUGAGGUAGGCGGAAUGCGUGGUGUAGCGGUGAAAUGCUUAGAUAUUACGAAGAACUCCGAUUGCGAAGGCAGCUUACUAAACUGCCACUGACAUUGAUGCUCGAAAGUGUGGGUAUCAAACAGGAUUAGAUACCCUUGUAGUC